rnacentral:tRNA from 1 species
ACUUACGUAGCUUAUAUGCAGAGCAUGAUAUUGAAGAUAUCAAGGAAGUAUUAAUACUUGUAAGUA